UAGUAAGAGGCGGUGGGGGGAUGGAUAUUUUCUAAGAGGAUUUUUGGACGGAACUGCAAUUGUUUCUCAACUCCUUGUUUCAGUUUUAGUUUGAAUAUACGAGUAAGGUCGGUGGUGGGAAGGGCGAAAAUUGUAAAGUGCCUGCUUGCCUGCCUUCGGUUUUUGCUCUACUAUUGUUCUACUGAUGUUGGAUGUGGGGGGCCUAUAUAAAUAUAUCUAUCUAUCUAUGUCCUUGCCAGCUCUGACUCGGGCCUCAACACCCACAUAGCUUCAUCCUGCUUGUUUCUCAAAAGAUUUUGGAAAACCCGCAUCUAAAUAUAAUCCCAUCCACCGAUGAGAACCUCGUAGUCGUGGGCGAGGUUAAAAGGUUGUGUUUUUUUAAACUGAAUCGAAAAGGCUAAUUCCAUUGGGAAG
rnacentral:sRNA from 1 species